rnacentral:rRNA from 1 species
GAACGCUGGCGGCAUGCCUUACACAUGCAAGUCGAACGGCAGCGGACCGUUCGGGUGCCGGCGAGUGGCGAACGGGUGAGUAAUAUAUCGGAACGUACCUUCAGGUGGGGGAUAACGUAGCGAAAGUUACGCUAAUACCGCAUAUUCUGUGAGCAGGAAAGCAGGGGAUCGCAAGACCUUGCGCUGAUUGAGCGGCCGAUAUCAGAUUAGCUAGUUGGUGAGGUAAAGGCUCACCAAGGCGACGAUCUGUAGCGGGUCUGAGAGGAUGAUCCGCCACACUGGAACUGAGACACGGUCCAGACUCCUACGGGAGGCAGCAGUGGGGAAUUUUGGACAAUGGGCGCAAGCCUGAUCCAGCCAUGCCGCGUGAGUGAAGAAGGCCUUCGGGUUGUAAAGCUCUUUCGGCCGGGAAGAAAUCGCACAGGUUAAUACCCUGUGUGGAUGACGGUACCGGAAUAAGAAGCACCGGCUAACUACGUG